UGAAUUUGCAGUUUCACCUAGUAAUAAGGUAUUAUUUAGGCAUGCUACAAGACGGGUGAAGUUGGAGCAUGUACUAAACACUGUGUCAUCAUAAUCUACAUUGAAUGGUUCAUGUUUCUAUAUCAUAUUAACACACCCUAAAAAUUGCAUGGUAUAUCAUAACAAUAUUCUCUAUGUACACUAUGGUAGCUUGUGUUUAGAUCAUGGAUCCAUAGAAACUAUUUGUUUAGUUGUAUUUGAG
rnacentral:misc_RNA from 1 species